rnacentral:rRNA from 1 species
CUUGGUCAUUUAGAGGAAGUAAAAGUCGUAACAAGGUUGCCGUAGGUGAACCUGCGGCAGGAUCAUUAACGAUAUAAAAAAAACUGUCCUUUUUGUUGGGCUGCUUCUCGAAGGAGAAAAUUUUUUUUCUCCGUUUCGAGCGAGCUAAAAACAGUAAAAUGGUUUCCAAAACUAAAUCGACCUAUCUUUAUAGGGGUCGCAUUUAAACAAAAACUUGCCGAUCGGUGGAUCACUCGGCUGGUGCAUCGAUGAAGAACGCAGC